rnacentral:other from 1 species
AUUUCCACUGUAGCUCUGAGGAUACACAGGACUUCAAAUUCCUGAAGAAUUGCCUUUGUGAGAAGCUAGAAAUAAUUUCUUUAAAUUUCAUCUCUUAGGGGCCAGCGCUGUGGCUCAGUUGGUUAAUCC